UUUUAAAAACCUGAACGGAAACUAAAGCUUUUUUAUUUGCCCAACAGUCAGAUAGUAAAGUUAAGUGACCUGCUGCCACCUCGUCCUCUGUCUCUAAAUGCCCAUUGUUGCCAUGUAGCAGGGAGAUGCUGUGACACAGCGUCAGAUGUGACCUUUCUCAAUCUCUUACAGUUCUUUAAUCUCAAUGGAGCCCCUCUGAGCAUCUCACCAUCACCUCAAGGGGACCACAGCCAGAAAAUGAUCAUAGGCAUUUCUGGGUUUUGUAUUCACAACCACAAUCUGAAAGUAAGAUUUGGAAUUACUUGGAAGAAUAAGCAACGGGGCAGAAUUAGGAAUGAGGAGGUCUCUAAUACCAGCAGUCAGAGACCCGUGGGAAAGUUGACAACUCAGUGGAGGCAAGUGAAGAGGGUGACCCUGUGUGAGGCUGGAGUUCUGUGAGAGCCUUUACAUCCAACGGGAGAAGAGUAUCACCCUGUAGUGACAACAGGCCUGUCUUGGGAUGUCAGGGUGAAGCCACACCUCCUUCCAGCCUGAAGCAGACAAGGAGCUGAAGGGAGAUCUCUGAGACCCCCUGCCACCACCAGCAGCUCAGAAGUCCUGGAGACUGCUCUGGUAGUCAGCUGUCUCUUAUCUGGCUGGUUCCUACUUGUGACCCAGAACUGAGGUGGUGCCAACUGACUGAAUUAACCUAGAGAAGAAUCAAGAACCAAGAAGGAACUGGAUAAGCAUCCUCGGGCCCCCCCAGAGGAGUCAGGGGAUUCCCCCACCCAGGGAUCCAUCCACAAGGCCUCCUACCAGGACCUCU